rnacentral:rRNA from 1 species
UACGUAGGGGGCAAGCGUUGUCCGGAUUUAUUGGGCGUAAAGAGCGUGUAGGCGGCCUUACAGGUCAGCUGUGAAAACUCGAGGCUCAACCUCGAGACGUCGGUUGAAACCGUAAGGCUAGAGUCCGGAAGAGGAGAGUGGAAUUCCCGGUGUAGCGGUGAAAUGCGCAGAUAUCGGGAAGAACACCCGUGGCGAAGGCGGCUCUCUGGGACGGUACUGACGCUAAGGCGCGAAAGCGUGGGGAGCGAACAGG